CCCAAAAAGUGCGUCGUAGUCCGGAUUGGAGUCUGCAACUCGACUCCAUGAAGUCGGAAUCGCUAGUAAUCGUGGAUCAGAAUGCCACGGUGAAUACGUUCCCGGGCCUUGUACACACCGCCCGUCACACCAUGGGAGUGGGCUGCAAAAGAAGUAGGUAGUUUAACCUUCGGGGGGACGCUUACCACUUUGUGGUUCAUGACUGGGGUGAAGUCGUAACAAGGUAGCGCUAGGGGAACCUGGCGCUGGAUCACCUCCUUAAACGAUGAU
rnacentral:rRNA from 1 species